UACGGAGGGUGCAAGCGUUGUUCGGAAUUACUGGGCGUAAAGCGCGUGUAGGCGGCCUGGCAAGUCAGACGUGAAAGCCCUCGGCUUAACCGGGGAAGUGCGCCUGAAACUGCCAGGCUUGAGUACGGGAGAGGGAGGCGGAAUUCCCAGUGUAGAGGUGAAAUUCGUAGAUAUUGGGAGGAACACCGGUGGCGAAAGCGGCCUCCUGGACCGAUACUGACGCUGAGACGCGAGAGCGUGGGUAGCAAACAGGAUUAGAUACCCUGGUAGUCCACGCUGUAAACGAUGGGCACUAGGUGUGGGGGGUAUCCACUCCUCCCGUGCCGAAGCUAACGCAUUAAGUGCCCCGCCUGGGGAGUACGGCCGCAAGGUUAAA
rnacentral:rRNA from 1 species